rnacentral:lncRNA from 1 species
AAUUCUCCCAACUCCGCCUUCCCGCAGCCCCCUCCCCAUUACCUCGGAAAGCCGCCUUGGCGAUGCGGUCGGCUCUGCCGCGGAGGCCGGAGACGGUGCGGAGCUGGAGCUGCAGAGCCAUGGGAUGGAGAAGGUCUCCCCCUGCCCCGCCGGUGAUUUAUCUUCCCCUUACACAAUUAAAUGGGAUAACGAAGGUGAGCAGGAACAACGCAGGAACCCAGCCGAGCCAACACACAGGUCCCCGACGCACGGCGCACCCGAAGCGUUCCCCCGGCUGGCUGCAAUCAGCAGAGCGAGCUCUUCUCCUCCUACGCUCGGAGCAAUCACAUCAGCCUCCCCAUUUGUCAAACCGC